rnacentral:rRNA from 1 species
ACGGAAGGCAGCAGUGGGGAAUAUUGCACAAUGGGGGAAACCCUGAUGCAGCGACGCCGCGUGAGUGAAGAAGUAUUUCGGUAUGUAAAGCUCUAUCAGCAGGAAAGAAAAUGACGGUACCUGACUAAGAAGCCCCGGCUAACUACGUGCCAGCAGCCGCGGUAAUACGUAGGGGGCAAGCGUUAUCCGGAUUUAUUGGGUUUAAAGGGUGCGUAGGCGGAGCAUUAAGUCAGCGGUGAAAUAUCCCGGCUCAACCGGGAGGCUGCCGUUGAUACUGAUGGUCUCGAGUCCGAACGGCGCCGGCGGAAUAUGUAAUGUAGCGGUGAAAUGCAUAGAUAUUACAUAGAACACCGAUCGCGAAGGCAGCUGGCGAGGACGGCACUGACGCUGAGGCACGAAGGUGCGGGGAUCAAACAGGAUUAGAUACCCUGGUA